rnacentral:tRNA from 2 species
UCCUUAUUAGCUCAGUUGGUAGAGCGUUCGGCUUUUAAGGAUUCCAAUUCGGAAGUCGACCGAAAUGUCCAGGGUUCGAGCCCCUGAUGAGGAG